rnacentral:rRNA from 1 species
UAGGGAAUAUUGGUAAUCUGGGAAACCGGGAACCAGCAACGCCGCGUGCACGAUGAAGGCCUUCGGGUCGUAAAAGUGCUUUUUGAAGGGAUGAGGAAGGACAGUACCUUCAGAAUAAGCCUCGGCUAACUACGUGCCAGCAGCCGCGGUAAAACGUAGGAGGCGAGCGUUAUCCGGAUUUACUGGGCGUAAAGCGUGUGUAGGCGGUUUGAUAAGUUGGAUGUGAAAGCUCCCGGCUCAACUGGGAGAGGUCGUUCAAAAACUAUCAGACUAGAGAGUGGUAGAGGGAGGUGGAAUCCCGCGUGUAGUGGUGAAAUGCGUAGAUAUGCGGAGGAACACCAGUGGCGAAAGCGGCCUCCUGGCCCAAUUUCUGACGCUCAGCACGAAGCUAAGGUAGCAAACGGGAUUAGAGACCCGGUAGUCUUAGCUGUAAACGAUGUGAACUUAGUGUCGGUGGGGUUAAAUCCAUCGGUACUGAAGCU